AUUAUGUUUAGAAAUGUGCUGAAACAAUCUUCCCUCCAUUAAACAGAAAUUGGUAAAAAACAAACAAACAGGGGCGCUAAUAAUUUAGGGGGGCUAAUAAUUCUGACUUUAACUGUAUAUUAAUAUAAUAUGUGGCAUCCCAGUCAGCCCCUGCUGUGAGUUGAUUUGACCCAAGAAGCUGGGUUGAUGUGUUUGUGUGGUAGUAGGGUUGCAUUGAUUAAACUCUUAGCAAUUAUUACCCAGAAAAUAACCAAAGUUUGGGUUACAUAGCACUACCCAAAAACUACCCAAGACUGUAAAAAAAUAAAUAAAUAAAUAACCCCCAAAAAUUACCCAAAUGCCUCAACCCCACAUUUGGGUAGAAAGAAAUAACCCCGGAUUUUUUAGAGUGUAGUAUGCUUAAAUUUUAAAUCAAUACACCUAUAUUGUAUAUCAUGUGGACUUUAAUGGUUAUAGUUACGUCCUUGCUAAGAACAAACAGGGUGCCACUGGGCUAUGAAUGUGGCCCCUUUUAGUAUGCUUUAAUUUUAAGUCAAUACAUCAAUAUUAUAUAUUUUGGGGAUUGUAAGGGUAAUAAUUCUGUACAAUUAUAAGAGAAGACGCUUCAAUCCCAGUUUGUGGGCGUUAAAUCAGGUUUAUAUUGUACAUUAAUAAAACAAUUAUCCAAACAGCAGU
ensembl:processed_transcript